AACAGGAUUAGAUACCCUGGUAGUCCACGCCCUAAACGAUGUCAACUGGUUGUUGGGUCUUAACUGACUCAGUAACGAAGCUAACGCGUGAAGUUGACCGCCUGGGGAGUACGGCCGCAAGGUUGAAACUCAAAGGGAUUGACGGGGACCCGCACAAGCGGUGGAUGAUGUGGUUUAAUUCGAUGCAACGCGAAAAACCUUACCCACCUUUGACAUGUACGGAAUCCUUUAGAGAUAGAGGAGUGCUCGAAAGAGAGCCGUAACACAGGUGCUGCAUGGCUGUCGUCAGCUCGUGUCGUGAGUUGUUGGGUUAAGUCCCGCAACGAGCGCAACCCUUGCCAUUAGUUGCUACGAAAGGGCACUCUAAUGGGACUGCCGGUGACAAACCGGAGGAAGGUGGGGAUGACGUCAAGUCCUCAUGGCCCUUAUAGGUGGGGCUACACACGUCAUACAAUGGCUGGUACAGAGGGUUGCCAACCCGCGAGGGGGAGCCAAUCCCAUAAAGCCAGUCGUAGUCCGGAUCGCAGUCUGCAACUCGACUGCGUGAAGUCGGAAUCGCUAGUAAUCGCGGAUCAGAAUGUCGCGGUGAAUACGUUCCCGGGUCUUGUACACACCGCCCGUCACACCAUGGGAGCGGGUUCUGCCAGAAGUAGUUAGCCUAACCGCAAGGAGGGCGAUUACCACGGCAGGGUUCGUGACUGGGGUGAAGUCGUAACAAGGUAACC
rnacentral:rRNA from 1 species